rnacentral:sRNA from 1 species
AUGCAGGCUUUGCUUGUCAGGCCCUUGGGGAAGGAGCAUACCGUGUCCCGAUUGCUGCGGGUUAUGCAGUGUCUGUCGCGCAUUGAAGAAGGGGAAAAUUUAGACUGUUCCUUUGAUAUGGAGGCUGAGCUCACACCACUGGAAUCAGCUAUCAAUGUGCUGGAGAUGAUUAAAACGGAAUUUACACUGACAGAAGCAGUGGUCGAAUCCAGUAGAAAACUGGUCAAGGAAGCUGCUGUCAUUAUUUGUAUCAAAAACAAAGAAUUUGAAAAGGCUUCAAAAAUUUUGAAAAAACAUAUGUCCAAGGACCCCACAACUCAGAAGCUGAGAAAUGAUCUCCUGAAUAUUAUUCGAGAAAAGAACUUGGCCCAUCCUGUUAUCCAGAACUUUUCAUAUGAGACCUUCCAGCAGAAGAUGCUGCGCUUCCUGGAGAGCCACCUGGAUGACGCCGAGCCCUACCUCCUCACGAUUGGAUUUGUAAGUGAACUUGUUUGCAUAUUGAGUAUAUUCUUGGUGAAAGAAGCAGAGAAUUAAUGCAAUUCUGUGGCCUCUUCUU